rnacentral:lncRNA from 1 species
CAACCGAUUUUCAGGCCUAAUUUUUGGACCAAACCCAUGAUUCCCAAGACCGUUAAGUCCAAUAUCUAAUACCCAUUAAGCUAACCUAAUGACCAUUCUAAACUCUUAUUUGGAACAAAAACUAAAUAAAAAAAUUACUAAGGACCUAAGAGCAAUUAGCACCAAAAUACACAUUUAGACCUAGACGUAUAUUACAAGGAUACACACAAUCAGCCGCAUACUUUAAGAAUUAGCUGAAAUACACGAGAUACACAAAGAAUGCCUAAGAGAGAUAUACAUACAAUAGCGCCGUAACACCUCCUACUUCUUCAUCUUCAACCAUUGACGAUCUUCCCUGUAUCGCUGCUAACUCACGUAGAAGGAAGGUACUGCUGUUCGAGCAAAAGAACAUAAAUAAUACUUCGAGGAUAAGGUUUUGGUCGCUUAGAUCUGGCAGCGAAUCUAUCCGUGCCGAGGUUGAAUCCGGCGAGAAAUCUGGCGAGUUUCGAGGUCUGGAUGUAGUUCCGCCGAGGGUCAGUAAAUUUUUCGGUCAAGGUCAGUGUCGAGUCUCAGAUUCAUGUAAAGUGUUGUUUUUGGCCUCACUCUUGACUAAUGUAGAACUUCUGAAUUUCAUAAUGCAUGUUGAAUGAAGUAAUGUUGUUAAUGAGCAUUUGUAUAUAUGUGUUUGACAAAGUUUAGUUGAUCUGCUUCAUUUUCAUGAAUAUUUGUUAUAUAAUAACGUAUAUCAUCAGUUGUAUGUGCCUUAACUGUUGCUGUUUGGUUGUUUCUAUUAACGGUUAAGGGUCAAAACUGCCCUCAACCUAUCGACUCCGGAACAAAAUUGCCCUCCGUUUACCUUUAGCGAAGAAAAUACCCCCACCGUUAACUUUGUGUCCUAUUUCUACCCCUAAAAUCUAACAGAAUCUUGAAUUUCAUUUUUAAUUUUUUUAAUGCCACGUGUCACGUUUUGAUUGGGUCAUAUAAAGAACGGAAAAUUGAGACAUAUAUAGAACGGAAAAAGGGUCAAAAAUGCCCUCAACGUAUUGACUUCGGAACAAAAUUGCCCUCCGUUAACCUUUUUUGGGUCGGGUCAGUCGGGGUUGGGUCGGGUUGUAUCGAAAUUUGGGUGAGAAUUGAUUUUGGGUCAAGUUUAUUUAAUGGCCAAUCAAAACGUGACACGUNNNNNNNNNNNNNNNNNNNNNNNNNNNNNNNNNNNNNNNNNNNNNNNNNNNNNNNNNNNNNNNNNNNNNNNNNNNNNNNNNNNNNNNNNNNNNNNNNNNNNNNNNNNNNNNNNNUACAAGCAUCCCGACCGACCCGACCCAAAAAACACCAAACCCUCUCUUCAUCUUCCUCACAACACACCCUCUCUAACCCUAAACCACCAAACGACCUCUGAUGGCUACCCCGUUGCUUGAUCUUCCCCGUCCAGCCCGUCACCUUUACAUCGCCGGAAAACUUCACAACCAAAAAGCCCCCCUCCAUCACGAACCGGGCGUCCAACCCGUCCCCCAUAACCAAGCCAUGAAAAACCAGUCCCCAUUGGAUUGGAAUGACCAAUCCACUUUAACUGAAGAUGAAUAUAUGUGAUAUAUCAAGCUCUUUACAUUUGCGGGAUGCUUGUAUUUAAUUUUUAUUUUUUUUAAUUCCACGUGUCACGUUUUGAUUGGCCAUUAAAUAAACUUGACCCAAAAUCAAUUCUCACCCAAAUUCCGACACAACCUGACCCAACCCGACCGACCCGACCCAAAAAAGGUUAACGGAGGAUAAUUUUAUUCCGGAGUCAAUACGUUGAGGGCAGUUUUGACCCUUUUUCCGUUCUUUAUAUGUCCCAAUUUUUUGUUCUUUAUAUGUCCCAAUCAAAACAUGACACGUGGCAUUAAAAAAAAAAAUUAAAAGUGAAAUUCAAGAUUGUGUUAGAUUUUAGGGGUAGAAAUAGGCCACAAAGUUAACGGUGGGGGCAUUUUCUUCGCCAAAGGUAAACGGAGGGCAAUUUUGUUCCGGAAUCGAUAGGUUGAGGGCAGUUUUGACCCUUAACCGUUCUAUUAAUUAACUUACGUUGUGUGGAAUUUGAGAUACACAUUUUAGAAGUUUUCUUGAAGUGCUUCCUCUAUGAACCAAAGGCUGUAAUAUGUUAAGAGAAAAGAACACAUAUAGGCAGAACAAAGGAUACUGCCUUGGCCUAUGAAAGGAUCACACAUGUCAAUAUUAUUAUGAUUGUGUACAUGUUCGUUUGAUAUAAUUAUGAUUCCAAAACAAAUUCGAAGUAUGUGUUCGCCAAUUUUGACUAACUUCCUCGAUAAUAAUAAAUUUGUUAUUAAUAUAGUCCUCUUCAAUUAAAUGUAGUUCUUUAGGCCGAGGUGUGCCAUGCAUAAUUGAAUCUUUAUGGCCCUCAAACGCUUAAUUUUGGAUUUCCUUUAAAAAAAUGAAAUCGAGGUAUGCCGUGCCAAAUAAAAUCUCAAAAUGCAUGGCCCUCAUUUAUUUAAUAUUUUUACCCUUAGAAAUCGAGGCGUGCAAUUUAUCGAAUUUUCCAUGGCCCUUGCAAAGUUGAAAGUGCGUAGUUUCUUUAGGUGCGCUAUUUUAAAAAUUAACUUCCUAAACUCGGAUAUGCAUUUCAUGCGACCCAAAUCGAAAUCUUAACAAUGUUAAAUAAAAUGUAUCUCGGACCGUGGGUGCAUUUCAUGUGGCGUGAUCCAAAGACGAGUUUUAGAUGUCGUUGAAAUCUUCCUCACAAUAAUUAAAAAUUGUUUAAAGUUAAAAUGCUCAUAGGUUUAAAAGUAUUUUAAAAUCAAAUAAAUAGGCCAAUAAUAACUAUUGAGCGACCUUGCUAAAAUCACGCAACUCGAGAAUGCCUAACACCUUAUCCCUGGUUAACAGAAUUUCUUAAUCGGAUUUCUAUGUUUGCGGACUGUAAAAUAGAGUCAAUAUUUCCUCGAUAUGGGAUUUACAUUCGGUGACUUGGGACACUAUAAAUUAUUACAGGUGGCGACUCUGAACAAUAAACAAUAAUUUCGUUUCGAUUGUCACUUUAAGUUUGAAAAAAUUCCCCUAUACUCCCUUACGGGGGUGUAGGUAAAAAUGAGGUAUGACAAUUAAAAGCACUUAUAAAUAUUAAAAUGCAUCAUAGCUUUAAAAUAUGUAGUAAAUUAGAAUAUAGACCAAUUACUUAUAGUUUAAGUGAUCGUGCUAGAUCCACGGAACCUGGGAAUGCCUAACUCCUUCUCCCGAAUUAACAAAAUUACUUACUUAGAAUUUUUGGUUCGCAGAAUUUAAAUAAAGUAAAAAAUUUCCUCGAUUUGGGAUUUAAAAUAAACCGGUGACUUGGGACACCAAAUAAACUAUUCAAAGUGGCGACUCUAAAAUUUUAAUUAAAUAAUCCCAUAUCGAAUAAUGUCACUUUAAUUGAAAAAACUCCCUUAUAUUACCUUCGGGUGGUAAAAAAGAGGUGUGACAUCUCUGACAACUCUGCUGGGGAUUCAAAACCCAGAACUUCGGUUCAUGGUUGAAGAAUUUGAGCUUAGAAUAACUUUUAUUAAUUGGAUUUCGAUCUGAUUUUUAUUACAUGUUUGGCCUAAUGUGCUAGAUGUCUCUUUUUACCGCUUUGAUAUUAUUUGAACUGUAUAUAAACUAUUGUGAAACCCUUCUCUUCUCAUCUUCGGGGAUGUGCACGCUGAUGUGACUCCUUUUCUGUUAGUGUCAUAUCUUAAAUUAGAAAGAGGCUCAGACAAGUUACAAAGUCGGAUGACGUUUUGGUUCUCGGUAUGUAGCCCCUCCGGCUCGAGUUAUCCGCUCGGGUAUACCAAGUCUAGAACAAUAUACCCAGGUUUUAAAACCUAGAAUAACUCAGCCUCAUGCUGGAUCUCUAGUAGAAACAUUUGUUUGCAUCAUGUACAUUUGACUUUGGGGACUCAACACAAGGGUUGAGUCCAUCUAGGACAGGUGGACCCCAGAAUCAAAAAACCAUCCUGAUGCAUUUUUUAUGUGCUGCGUGUAAAAUUAUUUGCUUCAGUUUGCAUGUUGACUGGUUGCUAGAAUAGGGAGGAAAUUUGAAAAAAAUAAAUUUGAGGUAUGAGAGAGAUGAUUACCCCGCCUUUGAAAAAACCCGGUGUCCAAAAUAUACCGACACUCUGCCGAAAGUUUUAAAAAAAGAGAGAAAGAAAGGAAAAAGGGAAGGGAAAAUGGGUUCAAAACAUUUCAUGUCUUUUUAUUAUGUCAAAACUGACCGAAAUAUGCGGGUUUUAUUCCCAUCGGGUGUGAAAUACGUAGGCAAUCCUCAUCGGGUCUAACACACUUUUUGCAAAUAACACAAAAUUUGAAAAUGUCAUCAUUUGUUGUCAAAAAUCAAAAUGGGUGAUGCCAUUUUUUGUCUAAAUAAGCCAAAUGCUUUGACGGGGCACCGGAAGGCUCUUUUUCAAGAAUAGCCACCGAAGGUUUCUUUGUCAAUUUUUUGGCUACCUAGCAAGCACAACCCUAAAAUCAUCCUUUUGAAGUGUUGAAGGGCCGUAUUUACAAAAGAAGCGUGUUUAUUUAAAUUUUUGCAAAAUUUACCUCUUUUAUAACUAAAGCGAUCACCUUAAUCUAAAUGUGCAGAAUAAGCAUGAGUGAAAACUUGCAAAUGAAGGUCAUGACCAAGAUUCCUUUGGAACUACAUAUGUGGUGGGAAGAUUUGGGUAAAUCAGGACGAGAUGUGGUCAACCAUCACUUGGGGGUCUCACCGGGUUAUUAAAGAUCAAGCCUAGAGGAGACAAAAUAAAACCACUGGUUACAUUUUCAGAUCCAACUCACAACGUGUUGCAUUUCUCAGAUUUCGAACUCACACCCACUUUGGAAGAGAUAGCCGGUUAUGUUUGGAGUACCGAAGCUCUAAUACAUAAAUACCUGGUCGCCCUAAGGGCUGGCACCCCUCACAAGUUUCUGGAUUUGCUAAAAAUAAGCAGGGAGGUCCAAUAUGUAAAUUUGGUGCUUGGUUUUUCCACUCCACAGUUCAUAAACUAGCGGUCUGGGCGCAUAGGGGGAUUUGAAAAUCUGGAAAGAAAAAAUUGUACUAAAGGGAACCGACUAAAAUGGGAAGAGCAUAAAUGUUUCGCUUUCAUGGUGUCAUUUUUGGGUCUUCUAGUGUUUCCCAUGAAGGACGUGAAUACCGAUGUACGGACAGUCAGGGUCGUCAACACUUUGCUUACCAAUGCCAAAAACACCCUCGCACCCAUGAUAGUAUCUGAAAUAUUCUGAGCUCACACAACUUGUAAAGCUGGAGUAGACAUUUUCGAAGGGUGCAAUUUGUUGCUACAAAUAUAGAUGAUUGAACAUCUACAUCAUCUCCCUCGGUACAUGAAUUACGAAUAUACAGGGAAGAGUUGCAUAGAGGAGUUUAAUACAAGGGUCGACGGGUUAAAAAUGCCAGAAGGGGUCGCAGAAUGGAUAUCAUGCCUCUGCUCCGUCACUGAAAACCAGAUAGAAUAGACAUUGGGUUUGCUUCAUGUUAAUGAAAUCAUAUACAUGCCACCCAUUGGUCCCCACUUCCUCCUGAUGGAUCUCAGAAGUGUCCAGCCUUAUGCCCUGCACUGGGUUUUGAGACAUCUAGGAAGAUGUCAAAUAGUUCCCAAGGACGAAGACCUUAGCAUUCAUGUGGUCGAGAUCCGUUCUGAUGGCCAAUUUCAUGAAGUAGUGGUGCACCGGAUAUGGAGUGAGUGCUAAAAUUUGACGGCAAAUACGCGAGUACGUAAUCUGUCCAAAGGUUCUGGUUACCUCGCUUGGUACGAAAGGAAAGUUGAGUUUGGAAGGCCAGCUAAAAGACCCCACCUCCUAGAAUUUGUUGAAGCAUCACAAGAGCGGUGAGAGUGGUUGACAAAAGAAAAUGAAUACCGGGCCACCAUAAGCAAGUUAGAAGGUCAAAUUAGAGACCUUAAGUUUGAUAAUGAUGUGCCAGCUGCUGCGCAUGAGGAUGAGAAAAAAAAAGUUAACCCAAGAGAAGGAAAUCCUCCGAGCCUAAAUCAAGAAAAUGAAAAUAGCAACCGAAAAACAUGUAAGAAGCAGAGCAUAUGAAAGACUCAUAAACGGUCUCAAGAGGAAAAUAUCUGAGUACGAGAAUGAUCUGGAAAAAUCCGAUGGUGGUCUGGCAAGAGCCUGGGCAUAGUUGGCGAAGAAUGUAGAGGGACGGGCCAACGUUUGUUCAGCCAUUAAAAAGGAAAUAUGAUGGAGAAGUCAUAAACCUGAAGAAAAAGCUAACUACCCUCGAGAAUGAGAUGGCUAAACAAACAAAGAACUUCAAGGCAGGGAGGGAACAUUGUUAUGCACUGACGUCUCUGCUAGAAGAGGAUAUGAAAUAGUUGCAGGGUCAAAGCCAUCGCGACACCAAAGUUUUGGAAGCUAGGUCUCAAUAAAUCGGACGUUUUCUCCAAGAGAAAGGCAUCAUUAGGGAAAGGGUUAAAGCAAUUGCUAAAUACAUCGUCAUGAAAUGCCAUGAAUGUGAGGACAUGAAUAGAUCCACCUUCUUCAUCACAGUGAUGACCUUUGUUCGCCAAAUAAUAAAUGACUUGGAUCGCCUCCAAGGAGAGCUUGCACGUAGUCCUGUAGCAAGGUCGAGUGAUGUCCUGUAGGCCCCUCGAGUAGUUUUGGAAGCACUUAUGUAUUCUUGAUUUCCUUUUUGAGUCUAUUUCCAGUUCUAGAGUUUGUUUCGAGUCUAUUUUUAGUUUUUCAAUUCCUAGAAAGGUAUGAUGGAGUCUUUGUAAUAGAGAAAAUGAGAACUUUUUAUUUUCAUGAAAAUUUGAAAUACCCAAAAUUGUUGUUUCCUUUAUUUUGCAUUUUUUCCUUGAACUACGUGGUGAUCUGAUUCACGUUGUAUCAUGAUACGUAGGCAAUCCCAUUCAGAUCCGGUCAUGGUUUUAAAUAAUUGAAAUAAAAAAAGAGAGAAAACAAGAAAAAGAGAGAAAAACAUGAGAAAGAGAGAAAACAAGAGAAAGAGAGAAAAUAAGAAAAAGAGAGAAAAACAAGAAAAAAAAAGAGAAAAGAAGAAAAAGAGGGAAAACAAGAAUAAGCGGGAAAACAACAAGAGAAGUACAAAGAAAAGAGAACAAGUAAUAAUAGUGCCAAAAAGAAAAAAAAGAAGAAAAAGGCAAAGGUUUGGGAGAUAAUCAAAAUCCGGGAUAAGACACGCAAUCGUUGCAAACGUGUAGAAACACAUUUAACUGUACAGGUGCAUCACAUCUUGCAAUGUGCGAUUCUCUACGUGUUAAUUGCCUCAAACUAACCGAUUUGUUCUAUAUGGAGUUUAGAUCAGGUUCUUUUUUUAAGGUGGUUAGUUUUCUGGUAACCGGGCUUUGCACCCAUACUUUACAAGAUCUAAGGGAAGUGUCAAAAUUUCAUUAGAAAGUCAUCUACCAACAAUUCCCGUGCCAGAGGAUAGCUCGAUAUCAGUUAUCCCAACAUCAGAGUCAGCAGCUGCUGAAGAGAAUAGGGAACUGCGCCUCACAUGUUAGAAAUAUGGGAUGCUUGGUCAAAAAGUAGAGGGCCUCCAAGUGCAAUACCUGGUUUCCUUGAGGUACUUCCUAGAGCAAGUGGAACUUCCAACAUCCCAAUAAAUUACCCAAACAUCCCACUUGGAUAUCCCACCAUCUCAGCCCAUUUCACCGGAACGCCUUCUAUGGUUUUCCCCCAGGCAAUGAUUUCUGGAGUGGCUUCUAACAUAUUCACCGCACCACAAACCUCAGCUAAAGCACAACCAACUUUGCCCAGGCCAAGUUUUGAUCCACCAUCCUUUACUUUCAAAUUUACACCUUUUCCAUCAGAGACAACUCAUUUCACCACCAAUUUUUACCCUCAACAACCUCGGUAUGAGUUUAACGUGGGACAAGAGAGAGCUACAAAGAAUCUCGAGCAAGAGAAAAUCACUUAAAAAUAAGAAGCAUGGAACAUAAUCUCAAGAAUAUACAAGGUUUAUGUGGCCAGAAGAGCGUAUCCUCCGGCGAUUUAUGUAUGUUCCCGCAUGUCCAUCUGCCCAUUGGUUUUUAGACUCCCAAAUUCAAAAAGCAUGACGCACAUGGGGACCCCAUAGCCCACCUCAAGAGGUAUUGCAAUAAAUUAAGAUGGGCAUAUGAAAAAGAAGAACUCCUAAUGGCUUAUUUCGGAGAGAGUCUACAUUUUAUCCGAGUGGUAUAUGGAUCAAGACAUGUCUCAAUGGCACAUAUGAGAUGAUUUAGCUUGAGAUUUUGUAAGGCAAUUCCAGUACAACAUAGACAUAGCUCCAUACAGAAAUUAUAAGUCUGCUCUAAAAAAGAAGUCAUCGGAGAGCUUCCGAAAAUAUGAAGUGGCGCUAACAAGCUGCCAGGGUUAAACCCUAGAUGGAUGAGACCAAGAUGGUCAGUGUCUUCCUAUAAGUCCAAGAGGCUGAUUACUUCUAGAAUAUCAUGUUUUCUAUGGGAAAGCCGUCUGCUGAGGCUAUCAAGAUUGGGGAAAUUGUCGACAACGGUUUGAAAAUAGGCCGUAUGUUAGGCCAGUCCGCUAUAAGUGCUACGUCCCAAGCAAUCCAGAGCGGUCAGGGGGUGUAGCAAAUCGAAAGAAGAAAGAGGAAGUGGCAGUGGUGGCUUCAUAUCUGAGAAACCCCUAUCAACCCCGAGGUGUAUUCCCUCCAAACACGUUGCAACAUUAUUAUCCUCACCUAGAUCCAGCUUAUGCCAUGGCUCCUAAACCUCAAGAGGUGAUGAAUGCCUAGCCAUACGAUCGGCCACAAAUAUAGUUUGACAAAAAUCAAGCUCCACCUCCUAGAAAUAGCGCUCCUCCCCAAGCUCCAUAUAAUCCCCGGGUCCCACAAAAUAAUUUUCCAUACAAUUGCCCGUGCCCAUGAGCCGCCCAGAAGAACGAACUUCAUGCCCAUUGGUUAGUGAUACUCUAGCCUUUUCCCUAAGCUGGUCCAAAUGGGUUUGUUACAACAUGUACCCCCAAACAAACAAAACCCAGAGUCACCCUCCUACCAACUCGGUACCCAAUGUGCUUAUCAUUCUGGGAUAGAAGGGCACGACACCGAGGGUUGUUGGACUCUCAAAAGGGUAGUCGAAAAUCUAAUAGAGCAAAAAUGGGUAGUGUUGAGAGAUGAAGAGGUCCCAAUUGUGACCAAUAACCUAUUGCCGGCUCACAAUAACGGCCCGUUAUUGCGCUUAUUUAUGAAGAUAAAGAGUUUGACCCUACCCUAAAAGAUAUCUUUGCUAUCGGCGAUGUUUAAAAGAAGCCAAGGGUAGUUUCCAAGCAAGUAAAGGGUGAAAAGAAGAGAAAUUCCACUCCUCAAAGUGUAGAAAAGAAUGUUAAACCCAAAAUAAGGGCAGUACCUCGAGCUAAAUAAGGACCUAAGAUGUACGUACCAAAAUGGACUUAUGCGGUGCAGGGGCCGGUAAUUUCACCAAGGCUAAAUGAGCACGGGGUUAUCAGCCACGCACCAUAGAAGCGCAUGAAGGAUCCCACUACCGUCCCUUGGAAUUACAACAAAGCGGUAGUGACGUAUAAGGGAAAAGAAAUCAUGGGGAAGUGAAUAAAAAAACUUGGUUGGGAAGUACCUCAAUCUAGAAGAAGUGAACAAUGGCAAACAGAAGCGUUUUCCGCUUAAGAAGCUAGUCAGUGCCGAAGAAGCAGAGGAAUUCUUCCAACAAAGGAAAAAUAUCGACUAUGAGGUAAUUGACCAACUCCGGAAGUCUCCCUAUCAGGUCUCACUCUUGUCUCUUUUGAUAAGAUCGAAUGAGCAUCAAAAAGUGUUUAUAAAGACCCUUAAUGAACCAUAUAUUCCGAUUGAAACCACUAUUGAGCAAGUGUAAAGGAUGGUCGUACAGUUCUUUGAGGUCAACCGGAUUUAGUUUAGAAGAAAUGACUUGCCCCCGGAAGGGUUAAAUGUAAUACCUUUUGACCGCAUCUGUAUUGAUAGCUGUUUUAGGCUCAUUUCCUUAAACGUCUCCUAAGUACAAUGCCUCUUUUGGCAGUAAUUUUCUUAUAACAUACAGACCAUUCCAAUUUGGAGAGAUUUUUCCUUCUUCUUCCUUUUGAUGUGGGAGAAUACGUCUCAAAACGAGUUGCCCUACUUUAAAGUUCCUAGGUCGUACUAUCUUCAAUCCUUUGCUAAUCCUUUGAGCCUGUUACCUUUCAUUUAUUAGCCUCUUUGGAACCCGAAAAUGUUAGUAAUAAAAAAAAUCAAAAUCAAAUCAAAAAAAAAAGUUUUCCUGAACUACAUUUGACUUGAUUCUGAAAGGAUACGUAGGUAGUGCCUACCUCUCUGGGGUUUAGUCACACCAAAACAAAAAUCCACAUUUUCCCAAAAGUUGAAACUAGGACAAAAUUUAUAAUUCCAAAGUUGUACUUCAAUCCAAUCUUUUACAAAGUCCUUCUGAUCUUUUGGUAAAGAUGUUUAAAAUGGAAGGACAGUAGAAUCUGAUACGAUCUAAUGAGAGAAAUAAAAUGAGAGAGUCUUAUUGGUGAAAACCCAUAUGGGCACCUUAAGGUGAUGGUGAGAAAAGAAAUUGAAAAUGAGAGAGUCUUGUUUGUGAAAACUCGCUAAGACCACUAUAAGGCGAUAGUGUGAAGAGAAAUGAGAGAGGUCAGUUGGUGAAAACCUGCAAAGGGCGCCAUUGAUUGAAAAAGAAGGUAUUCUUUACAACCAUCGGCUCUGAUAGAGUCCUGGCAAGGUUUCUCGAUUUUGAGAUACAUGUUAUGAUGGGUUUGUGGGAGAUUGGAUGGUUGCAAAAAUCGUGUAUCCAGUACACAAAGCAUGUAAUAUCUAUUGAAAUCUGCAUGCACUCCAGAUAAGUCUUUCUUUCUUUCCCCCGAAAGGGACACAUCUCAUUAAAUUCAUUAUCCUAUCCAUUGUUUACUUUUCUUUGAACCCCUUUCGGUUUAAUCUUUCAAGGAAACGCAUCCAGCCUUAGCGGGUGCAUCAAGUCGAUCUCGACUGGCCAUGAUGGCCAAUGCUCAAGGGUAGAAAUUAUUCAAAAAGAAAGAAAUCCAAAGUCAAGUUCCCGUAAAGGCAAAAUAUGAUGAAAAGGCCAAAACCUUACCCGGGCUAACCGUCAUGCAAUAUUUUGAAAAGUCAAGAUCUCUGGGUUGAGAAAGGAAACCGAUCUCCGUAAAGCCAGCCAACAAUGUAGAUUUGCAUCAAAAGGCUUAGGCCAAGAUCAAGUGAUCAAUACAAUCAAGUCCACAAAAUCAACCACCGUUUCAAACUGACAAGUUGUUCUUUGAUGUGAAAAUAGGAAAACAAGUGCAGUCCAAAACAACAUUACAAGCAGCAGGUGCGAUAAAAUCAAGGCGCGCAGAAACUGAAACGGCUCUGCAUCGAAAAUUGACCCAAAAAGGGAAGUCUUUUAAACUCUUCAUUCAUUCUCCUAAAUAAAAUGGGAAGUGAAGUGAAAAGGGGAGGAAGAAGAAAAGAAAGAAGAAAGAAAAGAAGAAGAAAAAUUCAAAAUCAUGGUAGCCUAGGGUCCCUAAUCUCUAGCUGCAUUUUCCCAAUAUACGGUCCCAUUCCCUAAUCUCUCCCAACACAACCUGGUUGUCUUUUCCAUUAUAUAGUUCUACUCCCUAUUUGAUCCCAGGCAUAACCCAAGGACCUUUCCCAGCAUAACCUGUGGACCUCCCCAACAUAAUUCGAGGACCUUUUCCAGCAUAACCUGUGGACCUCUCUGGCAUAACCCAAAGGACCUUUUCUGGCAUAAUCCGAUGACCUUUCCUGCAUUACCCACUGACCUCCACAACAUAACUUGAGGACCUUUUCCGGCAUAAACCGAUGACCUUUUCCAGCAUAACCUGUGGACCUCUCCCGCAUAACCCGAGGAUCUUUUUGUUCCCGGCAUAACCUGAUGACUUUUCUGGCAUAACCCGAGGACAUUUUGUGGCAUAAUCCGAUGACCUUUCCCGGCAUAACACGUGGACCUCCCGGCAUAACCCGAGGACCUUUUUCUUUUCCGGCAUAACCCGAUGAUUUUUUUGCCAGAAUCUACGAACCUCCUCGACAUAACCCGAGGACCUUUUCCACCAUAACCCAAUGACAUUUCCUGGCAUAACCUAUGGAACACCCCGGCAUAACCUGAGGACCUUUUCCCUUUCUGGCAUAACUCAAUCAUUUUCCAGCAUAACCUGGUGAUCUUCCCUACUUGGAGCUUCCGAUCCCCAUUUGAUUGCUUUUUAGAUAUAGGGUCUCCACUCCCUAAUCUUUUUCUUAGAGAUAUACAAUCUCGAUUUUAAUUACUUUCAAUGUAGAUUUUUGUUACAAUAACUAACAAAAUUUUUCUAGUAAAAAAUAGGACUGAAAAUUUUGUUCGUUUGUUUACUUUGGUGCCUGAACAGGUGUUUCACCGUGAGGCACAAGGUUUGAGAUGACCAAAAGAAGAUGCAUCAACCCAAAUAAAAGAAAGAAGAACAAGAAAAUAAGUUGAAAUCCAAGUAUAUAAGCGGAGAAAAGAUGCAGACGACCCAAGAUAUGAUUGAAGUCACAAGUUUUGCACGUCCCGCCUUGAUCAGAAAAGCUGAUGAAGAAUGAACCAACAGUUGCAACUAACAAGUAUCAAGAUUCUGAUCAGAGUCUGCAGGAAGAACCAUCCAAGACUCAUGAUCAAGCUUUGGAAAGUUUAUAGAUAUGAAUCUUGUAACUCGUAGUUGGUAGGCUUAGUAGUUUAGCUUUUCAUCUUUUAUUUCGGUGUAAUAGGGAGCUCAGUAGGUAGAAAC